UAGGGAAUCUUCGGCAAUGGGGGGAACCCUGGCCGAGCAACGCCGCGUGAGUGAAGAAGGUUUUCGGAUCGUAAAGCUCUGUUGUUAAGGAAGAACGAGUGUGAGAAUGGAAAGUUCAUACUGUGACGGUACUUAACCAGAAAGGGACGGCUAACUACGUGCCAGCAGCCGCGGUAAUACGUAGGUCCCGAGCGUUGUCCGGAUUUAUUGGGCGUAAAGCGAGCGCAGGCGGUUAGAUAAGUCUGAAGUUAAAGGCAGUGGCUCAACCAUUGUAGGCUUUGGAAACUGUUUAACUUGAGUGCAGAAGGGGAGAGUGGAAUUCCAUGUGUGGCGGUGAAAUGCGUAGAUAUAUGGAGGAACACCGGUGGCGAAAGCGGCUCUCUGGUCUGUAACUGACGCUGAGGCUCGAAAGCGUGGGGAGCGAACAGGAUUAGAUACCCUGGUAGUCCACGCCGUAAACGAUGAGUGCUAGGUGUUAGGUCCUUUCCGGGACUUAGUGCCGCAGCUAACGCAUUAAGCACUCCGCCUGGGGAGUACGACCGCAAGGUUG
rnacentral:rRNA from 1 species